UUCUGAGAAUUCAGGAUGUGUGUUGCAGGCCCCUCCCUCUCUCAUUUGAGCCAACCCAGCCCUUGAGACUCGGAUCCCUACAGGGUUUAUAUAAUGUGGUACCCUUGGAGAUCUGAGGUCUAGCCCUCUUUGCCAGUAUAAACUGGAUGGUCAAGGGGAGGGGGUUAGAAGCAUCCCUGUCUGCAUUCUGUGUGCUUCUUUAAUUGCUCUUGGAAGAAAAGCUGUCACAGGAUCUAGUAGACUGGAUUUUUCUCCCUUUUCUCGUAAAUUCAAAGUUGGCAUAGGGUCACUGACUGGCAACAGCCAUCCAUUUUUCCAGACUGGAGUCUUUCCCAGCCCUACCUGGAGAUAUGAGGAACUGAACCCGGACCUUCUGCAUGUAACAAACUUGUACUGUCUACCACUAAUUGCAGAGGACUGAGAUUGUGAUUUCUAUCAUCUUUAUAAUCAUCAAGAAAUCUGUUGUAUUCAAGAGCUGGUUUUCAUCCAACACACUUAUAAGAUCAGAUGACAACCACCCACAAAGCAUACUCCCAUGUAAGUGUUAACGGCGUUCAGGAUUUCCUAAAAUCCUGAAAUACCUAGGUAAAUGCUGUGUAAUGUGUGGAGAACGUGUGGCCCUGCUGCCCAGUGAAUUCUAUAUAUCAUCCCUGGAGCCAGAAAAUCUUAUUAACCAUAUAAGCCAGUGGCAAAUGUUCCACUCCUGGGUAAGGUCCUUGAGCAGGUGGUUGCGGAUCCAUUUCAGUCGGGUUUUAGGCCUGGCUUUGGUACUGAAGCAGCCUUGAUCGCCCUUUAUCAUGACCUAUGUUGGGAAAAAGACAGGGAUUCUCCUUGAUCUCAGUGGCUUUCAGUACCAUUGAUGCAUUGACCAUAGUAUCCUUCUGGGACGACUGAGUUGGGAGUGGGAGGUACUGCAUUGCAGUGGUUCUGCUCCUACUUGGCGGGUGGGUUCCAGAAGGUGGUGCUUGGGGGACAUUGCUCAGCCCCGUGGAUUUGCCAGUAUGGGGUUCCACUGGUGUCAGUUUUGUCCCCCAUGCUGGUCAACAUCUACAUGAAAUCACUGAGUGUGGUCAUCCAGAGUUUUGGAGUGCGUUGCUAUCAGUACACUGAUGACAUGCAGCUCUGUUUCUCCUCAUCUUCACCAGUUGAGGCUGUGGAUGUGCUGAACCGGGCCUGGCUGUGACAACGGACUGGAUGAGGGCUAAUAAACUGAAACUCAAUCCAGACAAGAUUGAGAUCGUGUUAGUGGGUGGUUCUUCUGACCAGAUGGUGUUCAACCUGUUCUGGAUGGGGUUGCACUCCCCCUGAAGGAGCAGGUUCAUAUCUUGCGGGUUCUCCUAGAACCUUCUCUGUCCCUUGAGGCUCAGGUGCCCACGGUGGCAUGGAGUGCGUUCUACCAACUUUGGUUGGUGGCCCAGCUAUGCCCCUAUCUGGACAUGGAUAACCUAGCUUCAGUCGUCCAUGCCCUGGUAACCUCCAAAUUAGAUUUCUGCAAUGCACUCUACGUGGGGCUGCCUUUGAAGACAGUUCAGAAGCUGCAGCUUGUGCAAAAUGCAGCAGCCAGGUUAAUAACGGGGACCAGAAGGUUUAAACAUAUAUGACCGACUCUGGCCCGCUUGCAUUGGCUGUCUAUGUUUCCGAGCUUGAAUCAAGAUACUGGUUCUACUCACGGUGUUACUACCCUCCUGCAAGGGUGAGAGACCCAUUCGGAUGGUCCGCCCCAGGAGACUGAUGGAAUCCAGUGGAUUUCUGAAUGCUCUUGGGGAUUUUCCAGUGGAGAGAGCUGGUGAUCCAGCCAAGGCCCUAGCUUCACUGUGGAAUGGUGAAAUGUGGAGGGCCAUCGACUUGAUCGCACCUGAGUGCCUUCUCCAGUCCUGUAGAGCCCGCUCUGCUCCUUGGUAUACUAAGGAGUUGCGGGUCAAUGAAAUAGGCUGGACGUCGGCUGGAGCGCAAAUGGCGCAAGACUCGAAGCGAAGAUGACCGAGCACGCUGUAGAGCGCAUAAUCGUGCCUAUUGCAUGGCAGUGUGGGCAGCAAAGAAGGCUUAUUUUGCUGCCUCCAUUGCGUCCUCGAGUAGCCGUCCAGCGGAGCUCUUCCGGGUGGUCCGGGGGCUGCUAACAUCAUCCCCAGCAAAUGGGGCCCCGGCUCCAUCAAGGACCUGCUGUGACCUUUUUGCAUCACACUUUGAGGACAAGAUCGCUUCUCUCUGCAGCGAGCUUGACAUUGUUUUUAGUGCAGCUCCAGUUGAGGUGUCCGAUGCCACCAUCUGCCCAAUUUUGUGGGAUCAGUUCCGGUUAUUGCGGCCUGAUGAUGUGGACAAGGUGCUUGCAGCAGUGCGACCGACCACUUGCCCUCUUGAUCCCUGUCCCUCCUGGCUUAUAAAAGCAAGCCGAGGGGGUCUGACUGGGUGGGUCCAAGGGGUGAUAAAUGCUUCUCUCCGGGAAGGGGUGGUCCCUGCUGUCCUUAAGGAGGCAGUAGUGCGACCACUCCUGAAGAAGCCCACCCUGGACCCGAUGGUAUUAGGCAACUACCGCCCAGUUGCUAACACUCCUUUUUUAGGGAAGGUACUUGAGAGGGUUGUGGCGGAGCAACUGCAGGCACUCUUGGAGGAUACUGAUUAUCUAGAUCCAUUCCAGUCUGGGUUCCGAUCUGGUUACGGGACUGAAUCAGCCUUGGUCGCCCUGAUAGAUGACCUUUAUCGAGAGAGGGACAGGGGGAAUGCAACCCUGUUAAUCCUGUUCGAUCUCUCGGCGGCUUUUGAUACCAUCAACCAUGGUAUCCUCCUGGAUCGACUCCAUGGGAUGGGCAUCGGAGGCACUGUUUACAGUGGUUCCGGUCCUACCUACGGGGUCAUUUUCAGAGAGUAGCAUUGGGUGACCAGUCCUCGGCCUCUUGGCAAUUGAGCUAUGGAGUGUUGCAGGGCACCAUCUUGUCCCCAAUGUUAUUUAACAUCUAUAUGAAGCCGUUGGGAGCGGUCAUUAGGGGAUUUGGAGCUAAAUGCCAUCAAUACGCUGAUGACACGCAGCUCUAUCUCCCUGUGACAACUGAAUCAGGUGAGGCUGUGCAGGUCCUGGACCAGUGCCUAGACUCAGUAAUGGGCUGGAUGAGGGCCAAUAAACUGAGACUGAAUCCCUACAAGACGGAAGCCCUGUGGGUGAGUGGUUCCCGAGUCCGGGAGACAAGCUCAUUGCCUGUUCUGGAUGGGGUUGCUCUGCCUCUGAAAGAACAGGUUCGUAGUUUGGGGGGACUCUUAGACCCGUUUCUGUUGUUGGAGGCUCAAGUAGCCGCCAUGGCUUGGAGUGCCUUUUACCAUCUUCGGUUGGUUCACCAACUACGGCCUCUCCUGGACAGGGAUAGCUUGACCACGGUGGUACAGGCAUUGGUAACCUCAAGAUUGGAUUACUGCAACGCGCUCUAUGUGGGGCUGCCCUUGAAGCUGCUCCGGAAGCUGGAGCUAGUGCAGAAUGCUGCAGCUCGGCUGUUGUCUAGAGCUGCCCCUUUCCAGCAUGUAACUCCUCUGCUGAGGGAACUGCACUGGCUGCCUAUUCGCUACAGGGCCAGGUUUAAGGUUCUUGUACUUGUGUACAAAGCCCUAAACAACUUGGGACCAGGAUACCUGAGAGAGCGCCUUUUCCCUUACCAACCUGCCCGGUCACUGAGGUCAUCCAAAGGCCUGCUCCUGGUGGUUCCACAUAGAUCCAUCCCUGCCUCUAGAGGUCAGGCAGGCUCUAACCUUGUACUCCUUUCGGCGCCUCCUGAAAACAUCUUUAUUCCAAGAAGCCUUUCUUUAACAUGCAGCCUUGGAUUUCUGUUUUUUGCUCCUUUUUAAAUUUUGUUUUAACUGUUUUAUUCUGUUUUUAUUUUCAUUUUACCUUGUACACCGCUCAGAAAUUUUUCAAUGGGGAGCGGUAUAUAAACAUUCUAAAUAAAUAAAUAAAUCAAGCCUUACACAGCUUUGGACCACAAUACCUGACGGAACGCCUUUUCCAACAUGAACCUACCCAUAUACUACGUUCAACAUCCAAGGUCCUCCUCUGGGUGCCUACUGAGGGAGGCUCGGAAGACAGCAACAAGUGAGAGGGCCUUGUUUGUGGUGCCCCCCCCCCCCAUUAUGGAAUGAUCUCCCUGAUGAGGCCCACCUAGUGCCAACAUGGUUAUCCUUUUGGCACCAGGUCAAAACUUUUCUGACAGGCAUUUAGCAAUAUGUGAUGAGUUUCACCAAUCCUGGAUCUGUUUUUAGAUUUAUAGCUUAAAGUUGUUUUUAGAUGUACCGUAUGUUUGUGUGGUAUUAAAUUUUGUAUAUUGUU